rnacentral:rRNA from 1 species
GACAGAAGGUGCAAGCGUGACUCGGAAUUACUGGGCGUAAAGCGUCUGUAGGCGAUCCACCACGUCUGGCUUUAAAUCGCGGGGCUCAACCCCGCGCUUAAGCUGGAUACGAGUGGAAUUGAGUCAUUCAGAGGCAUCUGGAAUGUCAUGUGUAGGGGUAAAAUCCGUAGAUACAUGAUGGAACGCCAAAAGCGAAGGCAGGAUGCUAGGAAUGUACUGACGCUCAGAGACGAAAGCGUGGGGAGCAAAGGGG